AAGGAAAAGAGAGAGAUUUACCACAUUGCCUUUGGUCCUUUAUUAGCACAAAUGCAUCGAGGGCCCUCUAGUCUAUCCAGCUGGGAAGCCGUUCUCCCUUUUGUACUUCGUAGCGUCGGCUUGGUGAAGGCGUUGGCUCGAUGUUCUUGUCCAUUCUGGUGCAUAAGUAAGUCACGGAAGACAUUUUUUUUGCCCGUUAGGGCUUGCUCUCUUCUUCGACUCUAGCUGCAUUCCUCUUCGACCGCUCGCCGUGCUCUCCACCACCGGCGCCGCUCACCCUCCAGCCGUCGCUCUCCCCCACCAUCAUCGCCUACGCGAAGGAUUGGGUUGUGGAUUGCUACAAUCAGAAUAAGCUUGUUGAGAUUGAUAGUUACCUUUUCACAAUGCUUAUUGUUCACUUAUAGAGAAAGCUGAACACUUCAUGUACAUAGAGAACCAGUUUUACAUAUUGGGCCUUUCAGUAGAUGAUAUCAUUUGAAACUGUGUUUUGGAGGCAUUAUAUCAACGGAUUUCGCGUGCAAACAAUGGAAAUGUUCGAGAGUGAUUAUAGGAGGGCUAGAUGUUGGAGGUGCUGCAUCUGUGAGAGCUAUACUGCACUGGCAAUAUCGCACCAUUUGGGGGUGUUCUGCUUUUUCCUUUAAUUUGAAGUUGCUGUUCUUACACUUGCCGCAGACAGGAACUUUAUUUGAAAGGAACGCACUUUGAUUUUUUUGUAUCAUCUGCUUUCUUUAUAGGUCCUUUUUCCUGAUGUUAUUUUCACUAUCUUCCUUUUUGCUGAUGUUAUUUUCACUCUCUUCUUCCGAACUCUUUGUAGGGUGGGUUUUCUUCUUCUGGAUUGUGUUGCAAGCCGUGAAGAAAAGCUUGAACAUCACAAAACACUCGCUGAAUGCACAGCCGGUUCAGCGAUUUCUACUUACUCUGGGGCACGACAUUCUCAUCAUCAUGAGUCAUGACCACACUAAGUGAAUCCUUUAAGAGGCUAAGUGGCUGUUGCCUCUUGUGUGAUGACAGGAGCGGUGGCUUUUCUUGUUUUAGUAUGUCAAUAAUAGUGUCAAGGAUCUUCUGUCAAUGGUGGGACAGUUGUGGGAUCUUGUGUCAAAUGGUAGAACAGCUGCCGUGUAUCUCUCAUCGGUGUUCUGUUGGAGUGCGCAUGGCAGUUUAUCGCCAUGGUCACCGUGAAAAUUGAGGUGUUGGUGACCUUAAUGACAUGAAAACUUCCUGCUUUUCUUCCCUUGUUUCCA